GUACCAGACUCCUACGGGAGGCAGCAGUGGGGAAUAUUGCACAAUGGGGGAAACCCUGAUGCAGCGACGCCGCGUGAGCGAUGAAGUAUUUCGGUAUGUAAAGCUCUAUCAGCAGGGAAGAAAAUGACGGUACCUGACUAAGAAGCCCCGGCUAACUACGUGCCAGCAGCCGCGGUAAUACGUAGGGGGCAAGCGUUAUCCGGAUUUACUGGGUGUAAAGGGAGCGUAGGCGGUCCUGCAAGCCAGAUGUGAAAGCCCGGGGCUCAACCCCGGGACUGCAUUUGGAACUGUAAGGCUAGAGUGUCGGAGAGGCGGGCGGAAUUCCUAGUGUAGCGGUGAAAUGCGUAGAUAUUAGGAGGAACACCAGUGGCGAAGGCGGCCUGCUGGACGAUGACUGACGUUGAGGCUCGAAAGCGUGGGGAGCAAACAGGAUUAGAUACCCCGUAAC
rnacentral:rRNA from 1 species